rnacentral:misc_RNA from 1 species
AUUCCUCAACCUUCUGCAUUUCUUGAAUGGCAGAAGGCUUGGACUUUGGAGGUUCUUGCUGGCCUCUUCUUCUAGAAGCCAGCUCCUCUUAAAUGGAUUAGCAGGGUCUGCCUUUAGUCGAUCCUCGACGUGAUAAGCCAUUUCUACGUCUUGGAUCGGUCUCUUUUGAGACCCGCUUCUAAUCGUCCGAGUUGCCCCUUCUUAACGGGGGUGCGAUUUUGGACCCACGAACCAU